GUGGGGAAUCUUCCGCAAUGGACGAAAGUCUGACGGAGCGACGCCGCGUGAGUGAAGAAGGCCUUCGGGUCGUAAAGCUCUGUCAUCAGGGACGAACGGCCGGUGGAGUGGAAAGCCACCGGAUUGACGGUACCUGAGAAGGAAGCCACGGCUAACUACGUGCCAGCAGCCGCGGUAAUACGUAGGUGGCAAGCGUUGUCCGGAAUUAUUGGGCGUAAAGCGCGCGCAGGUGGGAUCUUAAGUCCAUUUUUAAAGUUCGGAGCUCAACUCCGUGAUGGGAUGGAAACUGGGAUUCUUGAGUACCGGAGAGGGAAGCGGAAUUCCCCGUGUAGCGGUGAAAUGCGUAGAUAUGGGGAGGAACACCAGUGGCGAAGGCGACUUUCUGGACUGUAACUGACGCUGAGGCUCGAAAGCCAGGGGAGCGAACGGGAUUAGAAACCCCAGUAGUCC
rnacentral:rRNA from 1 species